UCGUGGGCUGGUGGCUCCCACUAGCCCCUCACACACACGCCUGCUGGGCACCUGGGUGUGUGUCCUUGGACCCCGCCUACAGCCUGCCCUCUUUCCUCCCUCUGGCCACUGCCCGGCUCCAGUUCUUCACCUGCCUGGUCAUCCUGUUUGCCUGUGAGGUGGCCGCCGGCAUCUGGGGCUUUGUCAACAAGGACCAGAUCGCCAAGGAUGUGAAGCAGUUCUAUGACCAGGCCCUACAGCAGGCUGUGGUGGAUGACGACGCCAACAACGCCAAGGCUGUGGUGAAGACCUUCCAUGAGACGCUUGACUGCUGUGGCUCCAGCACGCUGACUGCUCUGACCACCUCAGUGCUCAAGAACAACUUGUGUCCCUCGGGCAGCAACAUCAUCAGCAACCUCUUCAAGGAGGACUGCCACCAGAAGAUCGAUGACCUCUUCUCCGGGAAGCUGUACCUCAUCGGCAUUGCUGCUAUCGUGGUCGCCGUGAUCAUGAUCUUCGAGAUGAUCCUGAGCAUGGUGCUGUGCUGUGGCAUCCGGAACAGCUCCGUGUACUGAGGCCCCGCAGCUCUGGCCGCAGGGACCUCUGCAGUGCCCCCCAAGUGACCCGGACACUUCCGAGGGGCCAUCACCGCCUGUGUAUAUAACGUUUCCGGUAUUACUCUGCUACACGUAGCCUUUUUACUUUUGAGGUUUUUUGUUCUGAACUUUCCUGUUACCUUUUCAGGACUGACGUCACAUGUAGGUGGCGUGUGUGAGUGGAGACGGGCCUGGGUCUUGGGGACUGGAGGGCAGGGGUCCUUCUGCCCCUGGGGUCCCAGGGUGCUCUGCCUGUUCAGCCAGGCCUCUCCUGGGAGCCACUCGCCCAGAGACUCAGCUUGGCCAACCUGGGGGGCUGUGUCCACCCAGCCCCCCCGCCCUGUGGGCUGCACAGCUCACC
rnacentral:sRNA from 1 species